CACGUAGGGGGCGAGCGUUGUCCGGAUUCAUUGGGCGUAAAGGGCGCGCAGGCGGCCCGGAAAGUCGGAUGUGAAAACUCGAGGCUCAACCUCGAGCGUGCACCCGAUACUGCCGGGCUUGAGGCAGGUAGGGGAGAUCGGAAUUCCUGGUGUAGCGGUGAAAUGCGCAGAUAUCAGGAGGAACACCGGUGGCGAAGGCGGCUAUCUGGACGAUGACUGACGCUGAGACGCGAAAGCGUGGGGAGCAAACAGG
rnacentral:rRNA from 1 species